GAGAUCCCUCAGGAGACCAUCCGCCACCUCAUCAGGAGCAUGCCCAGGCAUUGUAGGGAAGUCAUACAGGCACGUAGAGGCCACACACACUACUGAGCCUCAUUUUGACUUGUUUUAAGGACAUUACAUCAAAGUUGGAUCAGCCUGUAGUGUGGUUUUCCACUUUAAUUUUGAGUGUGACUCCAAAUCCAGACCUCCAUGGGUUGAUAAAUUGGAUUUCCAUUGAUUAUUUUUGUGUGAUUUUUGUUGUCAACACAUUCAACUAUGUAAAGAAAAAAGUAUUUAAUAAGAUUAUUUCUUUCAUUCAGAUCUAGGAUGUGUUGUUUAAGUGUUCCCUUUAUUUUUUUGAGCAGUAUGUGUAUAUAUAUAUAUUUGUAUAUAUACAGUACGAGUCAAAGUUUGGACACCUAUCAUUCAAGUGUUUUUCUUUAUUUUUACUAUUUUCUAAAUUGUAGAAUAAUAGUGAAGACAUCAGAACUAUGAAAUAACAAUGUAAAAAUAAAGAAAAACCCUUGAAUGAGUAGGUGUAUCAACUUUUGACUGGUACUGUAUAUUGACUUUUUCCACAUUUUGUUACGUUACAGCCUUCAAUUCUAAAAUUGAUUAAAUAAAAACAUUUCCUCAGCGAUCUACAGACAAUACCCCAUAAUGACAAAGCCAAAAUGAGUUUUUAGAAAUGUUUGCAAAUGUAUAAAAACUAAAUAAAUGAAAUACCUUAUUUACAUAAGUAUUCAAACCCUUUGCUAUGAGACUCAAAAUUGAGCUCAGAUGCAUCCUGUUUCCAUUGAUCAUCCUUGAGAUGUUUCUACAACUUGAUUGGAGUCCACCUGUGGUAAAUUCAAUUGAUUGGACAUGAUUUGGAAAGGCACACACCUGUCUAUAUAAGGUCCCACAGUUGACAGUGCAUGUCAGAGCAAAAACCAAGCCAUGAGGUUGAAGGAAUUGUCCGUAGAGCUUCAAACAGGAUUGUGUCGAGGCACAGAUCUGGGGAAGGGAACCAAAAAAUGUCUGCAGCAUUGAAGGUUCCCAAGAGACACAGUGGCCUCCAUCAUUCUUAAAUGGAAGAAGUUUAGAACCACCAAGACUCUUUCUAGACCUUUCCGCCCAGCCAAACUGAGGGAGGUGACCAAGAACCUGAUGGUCAUUCUGACAGAGCUCUAGAGUUCCUUUGUGGAGAUGGGAGAACCUUCCAGAAGGACAACUAUCUCUGCAGCACUCCACUAAUCAGGCCUUUAUGGUAGAGUGGCCAGACGGAAGCCACUCCUCAGUAAAAGGAACAUGACAGCCUGUUUGGAGUUAGCCAAAAGGCACCUAAGAAACACCUGAGAAACAAGAUUCUCUGGUCUGAUGAAACCAAGAUUGAACUCUUUGGCCUAAAUGCCAAGCGUCACGUCUAGAAAAAACCUGGCACCAUCCCUACGGUGAAGCAUGGUGGUGGUAGCAUCAUGCUGUGGGGAUGUUUUUCAGCGCAGGAGACGAGUCAGGAUCAAGGCAAAGAUGAGAGAUCCUUGAUGAAAACCUGCUCCAGAGCGCUCAGGACCUGACUGGGGUGAAGGUUCACCUUCCAACAGGACAAUGACCUUAAGCACACAGCCAAGACAAUGCAGGAGUGGCUUCGGGACAAGUCUCUGAAUGUCCUUGAGGCCCAGCCAGAGCCUGGACUUGAACCCGAUCGAACAUAUCUGGAGACCUGAAAAUAGCUGUGCAGCUACGCUCCCCAUCCAACCUGACAGAGCUUGAGAGGAUCUGCAGAGAAGAAUGGGAGCAACUCCUCAAAUACAGGUGUACCAAGCUUGUAGCGUCACACACAAGAAGACUCAAGGCUGUAAUCGCUGCCAAAGGUGCUUCAACAGAGUGCUGAGUAAAGGGUCUGAAUACUUAUGUAAAUGUGAUAUUUUUGAACACCUCUUUUUGCAUCAUCAUUAUGGGGUAUUGUGUGUAAAUUGAUGAGGGGAAAACUUUUUUUAUAUAUAUAUAUAUAUAUAUUAGAUCCUGAAAUGGACACAAUUCAGUCAGUAACACAUUUUGAAUAGUUUUAUUUUCCCAUAAUUGAGUGCAUUUGUAAACAACCAUACAAACACUGCCUUUUUUAUUUCGUAAUUAAAACAAACUAUCGUUACAUUUUUUUUUACAAGCACGCAUAUUGAAGUUGGAACAUUGGAACUCUCCCUGGCUCAGUGUUUUAAUGUGUUUCUGAAAAUAACAAGACUGAAAGUAAGAACUCACCCAACUCAGCAACAUAGAAAUGUGUACAGCAAUAUAUAAUUUAACAAUGACUCGUUGGCAGAACAGUUCUCUUGCAGAGGACAUUUUAUUCUCAUUGGACUAGCCUACUUCAAGAUCAAACUGAAGGUCAAAUAAAAAAUACUCAGUCACCAUUUGAAGGAAUUCACCAUUCAGAGAAAUGUUUGGGGUUGUUUUUAUACCACUGAAAGACUGAAGUAGUCUACUGUAUCUCCUCUUCCUUCUCACCAGAGGGACAUAUGAGUUUAAAGAUAUCUAUUCAGAUCCAGGUCAUCAACGAUCCUAGUUAAAUAACAAUGCCUAGUUAAAUACAGGUAAAACAACAACAAUGGCAUCGUUCAGGUCUAAUUACUCUGUCACUACAAUGAACUAAUGAUUGGGGGAGGGGGCGGUAAUCAUUUGCUAAUUAUUGACAGUGGGAAAGUAUUAAUUGUAUGAUGUCUCAAUAGAUCGAAAAUGAGUACAAAUUGUGGAGAGGCAAACUUUCUGUUGUAUACCAUCCUGUGUCUUUUGCAGGGGGAGUAUACAGUAUAUUCAACAGCCAAUUAUAGCUCUAGUAAGAGUCAGUAAACUCCAGACCGACAGACUUUUUGAAAAUGUUUUUUUAGGCGUGUUUGGCAUGCAGUUCAGUCAUGGGCAAAAUCGCCUUUGACAUUUGAAAGACUUUUUGAUUGAUAUUGACAUAUCAAAGCAGAGAAACUGCCAUGUUCUGCAGAGGUUGUAAAAACACUGACUGCAUUUUAAAGGCAAAACACAAAAUUAGCUACAAAACAUCUGUUUAGGUCUAUGCAUGCAGUCUUCAAUUUAGUCAAAACAUCAUGAUUUAACAAAUGUAAUUCCAAUUUACCAAACCUUCUCAAAUGUCAAAAAUAAACAAUUUGGGAGAAUGUUAGACGAAUGCUGCUUUUAAUCCAAGGUUAUUCUAGCAUGCUAGGCAAUAGAUGCCUGAAUGUCCAGCUUCAAGAUCCAUAUGGUCUCUGCCUGUUUGGGAAUGCUUGUGUGGAUCCAAAAGAAACCCUAUCAAAACCCUGGUCACAUGUGAGUUAUAGGGAUCCAUAACCCUCGUGACAGGUGAGUUAUAGGGCUGCAUAACCCUCGUGACAGGUGAGUUAUAGGGCUGCAUAACCCUCGUGACAGGUGAGUUAUAGGGCUGCAUAACCCUCGUGACAGGUGAGUUAUAGGGCUGCAUAACCCUUGUGACAGGUGAGUUAUAGGGAUCCAUAAGCCUCGUGACAGGUGAGUUAUAGGGCUGCAUACUGAAUUCUGAGGGCAUGUUCCAUAUCUCUACCUCGAGGUGACAAGACACACACUUUGUUUUAGCAAUCAUACACACACGCACACACAUCCCUCUGUGUCUCCCGGUUCUCUCUCCAGACAUCUCAGUCGAUCCCAGGGGAGAGCAAUCCGUCACCGAGCUACUUUCUUUUGAAAGAGGAAAACAUCUCCAAUUGAACGCUGGAUUCAGGCUUCUUUGUGUCAACCCCAUCAUAUUGUAGGCCUCUUGAAACUGAUCACAGUCAAUAUACAGUAUCAAUGGUCAAUUGAUUGAUUAUAAAUGUGUGUUAUAUGUAUUGAGCUGCAGAUUAUCAGUUUGUCUAUUUGUCAAUGGAAAGGCCAAAUCAGAAUCAUAAAAAAAGCCUAAGCCAUCAUGUUAAGAAGGCCGUCAUGUUAAGAAGGCCAUCAUGUUAAGAAGGCCAUCAUGUUAAGAAGGCCAUCAUGUUAAGAAGGCCGUCAUGUUAAGAAGGCCAUCAUGUUAAGAAGGCCAUCAUGUUAAGAAGGCCGUCAUGUUAAGAAGGCCAUCAUGUUAAGAAGGCCAUCAUGUUAAGAAGGCCAUCAUGUUAAGAAGGCUGUCACGAGGCUUACAAGGCAUGGUUCAUGACUCCAGUCUUUAGUAUCUUUACGAUUUUAGUAGACAGAAACCCACGUCUGCAGCGCGCUAACAAUUCAGUGCCUCAGAGCGUCUAAAAAAUAGGUUACCCUUUUCAAAUGUGAAUUUGUAGUUCUUUUGGACAGUGAAGCGAGAUGAAAAGCAGCAGUAGUAGGUGUUGUUUCGCUGUCAUCUCGCCCAGCUAACCUACUUCCUGGGACUCUUCAAGCUCCCUGUAGUCUCUUCAUCAGCAGGAACACAAAAAUACAUUUUUGUCACAACAGACAACUUUGUCUUGCCAGAAACUCAUGAAUAUUCAUCUACAAAUGAAGACUUCUGAAAGGUGUCGCAAACAGAAAACGUCCUGAUGAAGCCUCUGGGGACAUGGAGGAAAUGGGUAGAACUUUCAGAAGGUGAUCCACCCUGUUAAACUUGUAUGGAUACCAGUCUGUUUCUGUGCUCUUGCCAACUCCUUGUGGAAUUGUCACGACAGCAAUGGAGUUGCGAAAAGCACAACAGAUUUGGGACCAGGCUAGAAAAAUCUAACAUUAUACUUUCAAUAUUCAAUAUUUAAAGUCUGUUAAAUGUCGAGAUUAUAUGAAAUCAUGUGGUAUUGUGGCAUUGCACUUACCAGGGGGACGAAAGUGCAGUUGUACCAUUUCAAUCAAGCUCCCG
rnacentral:lncRNA from 1 species